rnacentral:rRNA from 1 species
GAUGAACGCUGGCGGCGUGCCUAAUACAUGCAAGUCGAGCGAACAGACGAGGAGCUUGCUCUUCUGACGUUAGCGGCGGACGGGUGAGUAACACGUGGAUAACCUACCUAUAAGACUGGGAUAACUUCGGGAAACCGGAGCUAAUACCGGAUAAUAUAUUGAACCGCAUGGUUCAAUAGUGAAAGACGGUAUUGCUGUCACUUAUAGAUGGAUCCGCGCCGCAUUAGCUAGUUGGUAAGGUAACGGCUUACCAAGGCAACGAUGCGUAGCCGACCUGAGAGGGUGAUCGGCCACACUGGAACUGAGACACGGUCCAGACUCCGACGGGAGGCAGCAGUAGGGAAUCUUCCGCAAUGGGCGAAAGCCGGACGGAGCAACGCCGCGUGAGUGAUGAAGGUCUUCGGAUCGGAAAACUCUGUUAUUAGGGAAGAACAAAUGUGUAAUUAACUAUGCACGUCUUGACGGUACCUAAUCAGAAAGCCACGGCUAACUACGUG